GGACUGUUUUGUGUCAAGUUUUGAUUGUUGUUGUUAUGGACAUUGUGGGGUAUUGUAUGCAUGUUGAAUAUGUGAAUUGAGGUGUUAAAGAAAUGAUUUAUGUUGAAGUAUACAAGCAGUCCAAAACCGUGGACUGUUUUGAUGUUAAGAGUGAAUUUGUACGUUUUGAAUGUUGAAUGUUGUUAUGAACAUAUAGUGAAAGUGAAGUGUGAUGAUUCAAGUUGAAAUUGAAAUGAUUUGUGGGCUGUUAUAAGAAUGAAAAUGAUGCUAAAACAGUUCCAAGAAUCGUAAAGAUAAUGUUGUUAAACGUGUUGUUGUCGUUGUAAGUUAAAAUUGGAAAAUUGCUAAGUGAGAAUGGAAAUGUUGUGUGUGUUGUUUGGCCGUGUAUAUGGGACAGUUUGAAUGAUGUAAGGACUGCCCAAAGUCCCCUAAGUCAUGUUUAAACAAGUUUGGAUUAAUAUAUGAAAGAACGAUUAGCAAUGUUAGCUUGUAGCGCUAGUCGGUUUGAAUGCGAACGAAACGUCGUUUAAAUGUUAGAAAGGGAUUGUGAGCGUCAAAAUACGUAUUGAAUUCCCUCGUAGACUAAUUGUAGCUCUUGAUAUCUUGAUAUAGGAUAAGUGUUUUUGGGCAGCAAGUACAAGUUAUAAUACGACUAAACGCUAAAGGUACAGACGCUCGUUUCGGAGAUCCGCCAGCUUAGGAUACUUAUUCAGCUAUUUUGGACUGCUCCUUUGUUCCGGAGCCUAGCUUGUGGUAUAACUCCCUUAUGUUGUAUUCAUAUGUGUUUAUUUGGGUACGGCGGGGCCCUGUCCCGUCAUAUGAUACUGUCAUUACUCUUAGAGGUCUGUGGACAUUUGUGUGAGUCUGUUUGUGGUUGUUGAUGCGUUUUAUGACUAUGACUUAUGUUUGGGGCGUACCCAUUCGUAAUGGCAUCCUUUUCGGCUUGCUUAUAUAUGUAUGUUUGGUAUGUUGCAUAUCGUGGCAGCCUUGUCGGCUUGCGUAG